UAAUAAGUGUUUUAUGGCACUUUUUAAUACCAUAUCCACCUUGUGUGCAAUGUCAGUCGAUCUUCUUCAUGGAGAUCGACCAAACAUCAACCUUUAUCUUUUAACUCUUUGUCUGAAAAUAUUAUGAAUAAACCAAUUCAAAUA
rnacentral:misc_RNA from 1 species